AUUGAACGCUGGCGGCAGGCCUAACACAUGCAAGUCGAGCGGAUGAAGGGAGCUUGCUCCUGGAUUCAGCGGCGGACGGGUGAGUAAUGCCUAGGAAUCUGCCUGGUAGUGGGGGACAACGUUUCGAAAGGAACGCUAAUACCGCAUACGUCCUACGGGAGAAAGCAGGGGACCUUCUGGCCUUGCGCUAUCAGGUGAGCCUAGGUCGGAUUAGCUAGGUGGUGAGGUAAUGGCUCACCAAGGCGACGAUCCGUAACUGGUCUGAGAGGAUGAUCAGUCACACUGGAACCGUGACACGGUCCAGACUCCUACGGGAGGCAGCAGUGGGGAAUAUUGGACAAUGGGCGAAAGCCUGAUCCAGCCAUGCCGCGUGUGUGAAGAAGGUCUUCGGAUUGUAAAGCACUUUAAGUUGGGAGGAAGGGUUGUAGAUUAAUACUCUGCAAUUUUGACGUUACCGACAGAAUAAGCACCGGCUAACUCUGUGCCAGCAGCCGCAGUAAAAC
rnacentral:rRNA from 1 species